rnacentral:lncRNA from 1 species
GAAGGUAUUCAUUACUUUCUAGGCUAUUAAGCUCAUUAUUUUUAUUUCCCUCCUUUUCUGAUCUAGAGUCUUUUAGAUUGGCAGGUUAAGAUGGUCAGAGUGUCAUUUGAGACAAGGCUUGGUAUUUUUAGUGUGGACUAGAUUUACCUUUACAAAAAAUUAAUUGAGAUUAUCUUCUCUAAUUUUGUUGAGUAGUUGCAACUUAUUUGGAAUCUUAAUCUGUGAAUUACAAAUUAUUAAUGGUUUUUGAUGGUUUUAAAACUUUUUAAAUUAUUAUUUGAGGUUUAACCAGCUCUGACUUUGUACUGCUGCCUGUAAAUUUUUUAUUAUAUUGCAUUAUUUUGGAUUUACUGGUUUUAAUGCUUGCAUGCAUCAUGGGGCUCAGUCUCGUGGGAUAUAUGGCCAUGUCACAUGUCUAGCUCUUGUGGCUGGGUUUGAGGCAUGACAAAUACACUGUAUAUUUCAAAGUUUUCUCAUUCCAAUCGAAAAUUCACUUUCCUAAAGACUAGAUGUUUCGUUAAGAGUAAAUAUGAUAUUAACUGUCGUAUGAGUACCUUCUUCCCAAUCCUUCAAAAAGAAGCCUAUAUAACUUUCUUCAGUUUUUUCAUUUUCUUAAAUUAAAAAAAAAAGAAAAACUAUCAACUGGUAUAUUGCUUUAGAGGAAGAGGGAAAAAGAAACCAAGACUUGGUAGAAGGAAGAGCAGACCUAAAAACAGUCACAACCAAUCUUGAAAAUGUUCUAAUGAAGAUAGUCAUGAGCAGCUAUUACAUUUCGUUCUAAACUUCUAAUAUUCUCUUCUAAAAAUGGAAUGACUUAUGCUAUGGAGGUCUCAUAGUUAUCUCACAUCCAAUAAAGUGAAAAUAUUAGGAAGGUACUCAGACGGCAUCUUCAAUUUAUAUGUCGAGAUAUAAUUAGCUUUUCUUUGUGUACCAAAAAAAAAAGAGACUUUUUUCUGUUGAGUAUUUACAAAGUGGUUUAUGAUUAGAUGACAAGAAUUCUGUUCACUUUUAGUCUUAUUUACAAUAACAUAGAAGUCCAUAUUUACCCUGUAAAUUGGAUACACUCACCAGGCAUGAGUUUUGGAUAUGUAAAUCUAAGCUUUGCAAAUUUGAGUUUUUAUAAUUGAAUGGGACUUCCCUGUUUGAAUUUUACUUAUCUCCCUCCUUCUCACCUCUUUCUGCAUUCCUUGACCCUUCCUAUUUGUCUGAUUAUCCAAUAUAAAUCUUAUUUUUAUAGGGUUGAUCAGUCCAAAACUUCUUAUUCCUUUUUUCUAUUUCAUGUUUCCCUUGAAUCUUUAUUCUCCUUAAAAAUGGCUUGCUAGUUUAUCUCCUCUCUCUACACCACCAAACUAAUAUUUUCAUUCCUUUCUUAUAUUUUAUACAUGAUCAAGAUGUCCACUUUCCCAGGGGUGAAGCCAAAUCUUAGUUGAGGGGCAUGGCCCCCCUCAAGGAAGCUAGUAGUUAACCUGUCUCCACUUCCUCCCUAAAGUCACCCCCUUUCUCGCUCCUGGAGCAUGUCCCCCCCCCUCAAGGAAGCUAGUAGUUGCCCUAUCUCCACUUCCUAAAG